rnacentral:rRNA from 2 species
UAGGGAAUCUUCGGCAAUGGACGAAAGUCUGACCGAGCAACGCCGCGUGAGUGAAGAAGGUUUUCGGAUCGUAAAACUCUGUUGUUAGAGAAGAACAAGGACGUUAGUAACUGAACGUCCCCUGACGGUAUCUAACCAGAAAGCCACGGCUAACUACGUGCCAGCAGCCGCGGUAAUACGUAGGUGGCAAGCGUUGUCCGGAUUUAUUGGGCGUAAAGCGAGCGCAGGCGGUUUCUUAAGUCUGAUGUGAAAGCCCCCGGCUCAACCGGGGAGGGUCAUUGGAAACUGGGAGACUUGAGUGCAGAAGAGGAGAGUGGAAUUCCAUGUGUAGCGGUGAAAUGCGUAGAUAUAUGGAGGAACACCAGUGGCGAAGGCGGCUCUCUGGUCUGAACUGACGCUGAGGCUCGAAAGCGUGGGGAGCAAACAGG